AAGUUAUAUCUAACUCGGUGCUCAUUACUAUGUCCACUACAGCUUGUCUGCUGGUAGUUCUAGGAUGUAAUGUUGAGGAAAACUGUACCGAAUACAUUCAAGAGAAGUUUCUUUCUGAUGUGAGCUUGUCAGCUUAGGUAAAUGUAUAAGGAAGUUUAAAAACCCCAAAUAAAAUCCAAUGCAUCUUUGCUGCAAGCAUAUCUGAUCACUGAAUUUCUGUACUCUGUCAUUUCACAGCAAUUACAAGGGGAAGAUUUAUACACAGCUGCUGCUGUUGUUUUAAAUCAUAUCUACUUAUUCCACCCAUAAAAUCUUCAGUGUCUGCUUUCAUUACUUAUUAUCCUUGGCAACAGAAUUAAUUUUGUUCUCAAGUCAUUAAUUCUGCUCCUCCUACUCUGCGAGGUUUUCUUGUAGCCUUUCUGUUUCCUAUUCAUUAUCCAUUUCUGCUAGCCUGCCAGCCAUACUCCUGCAAUGCCAACAUGUUUGAUACGUAGGAUUUGAGCCUGUAUCUUAACAACAGCUUCUAUUUAUGUAACACCUUAAAUGUGAUAGGAUGAUAUCACCGAGGAGCAGCGUGCGGGAAGGAAGUAAGAAGGAUUGCUGCCAGAGCUUGGCUGAGCAGGAACUAAAUGUGGUUGGAUGCUGAUAGAUGAGAAAAUGAUCCAGAGCUGUAGAAGAUUCACAAGGAGAGAAAUAGAUGGACAGAACCAGCAGAUGGAAAGAUAUGUUGCCAUAUAAGAUUUCCAAUAUCUGCUGUUUAAUGUUGGCUGGAACAAUGGAGUAAUAUUUAAUAAAUUCAGAGUGUAACAGCAAGCAGUCAUGUAUAUUUAUAAUAGGAAAUGACAGAGUGAGUCGCUCCUUUAUGGAAAGAUG